rnacentral:rRNA from 3 species
CUGAGACACGGUUCCUACUCCUACGGGAGGCAGCAGUGGGGAAUUUUGGACAAUGCACGGAAGUGUGAUCCAGCGACGCCGCGUGAAGGAAGAAGUCCUUCGGGAUGUAAACUUCUGAACUUACAGAAUAACAGCAUAAGGGGACUUAUGUAUGAAGGUAAGUAAGGAAAAGCCCCGGCUAACUACGUGCCAGCAGCCGCGGUAAGACGUAGGGGGCGAGCGUUGCCCGGAAUCACUGGGCGUAAAGGGGGCGUAGGCGGUCUCAUAAGUCAGGUGUGAAAUGUCACUGCUCAACGGUGUCAGUGCGCAUGAAACUGUGAGACUUGAGGGUACCAGAGGUAGACAGAAUUACCUGAGUAGGGGUGAAAUCCGUAGAUACAGGUAAGAAUGCCAGUGGGGAAGCCGGUCUACUGGGGUGACCCUGACGCUGAGGCCCGAAAGCUAGGGUAGCAAACCGGAUUAGAUACCCGGGUAGUCCUAGCAGUAAACGAUGCUCACUAGGUGUGGGGCAAGAAAGCUCCGUGCUGAAGCAAACGCGAUAAGUGAGCCGCCUGGGGAGUACGCCCGCAAGGGUGAA